AGAUAAUAGAUACCCUGGUAGUCCACGCCCUAAACGAUGUCAACUAGUUGUCGGGUCUUAACGGACUUGGUAAACGCAGCUAAACGCGUGAAGUUGACCGCCUGGGGAGUACGGUCGCAAGAUUAAAACUCAAAGGAAUUGACGGGGACCCGCACAAGCGGUGGAUUAUGUGGAUUAAUUCGAUGCAACGCGAAAAACCUUACCUACCCUUGACAUGUGCCGAAGCCCGCUGAGAGGUGGGUGUGCCCGAAAGGGAGCGGCAACACAGGUGCUGCAUGGCUGUCGUCAGCUCGUGUCGUGAGAUGUUGGGUUAAGUCCCGCAACGAGCGCAACUCUUGUCAUUAAUUGCCAUCAUUCAGUUGGGCGCUUUAAUGAAACUGCCGGUGACAAACCGGAGGAAGGUGGGGAUGACGUCAAGUCCUCAUGGCCCUUAUGGGUAGGGCUUCACACGUAAUACAAUGGCGCGUACAGAGGGUUGCCAACCCGCGAGGGGAGCUAAUCUCAGAAAGCGCGUCGUAGUCCGGAUCGGAGUCUGCAACUCGAC
rnacentral:rRNA from 1 species